GUUACAUACCCACUGCGAGACUCAAUGCUGAUAUAGUCUCUCUCAUUGCUGCGGCGGAAGAAGCGGAUACAGGAGACAGAAGAAAAAGAGUCCAGACCACGUUGGAUGAUCUCCAGCUCACGGGAGGCUGAAAUGGCAAAGCUCCAGCAGAGAAGACGAGGAGCAGGGCCAACAGGCCAAAAGUCACCUUGGCUACAAACAUUGCGUCGAAAGACCUGUGGAAAGAACCAGGGCACAGCUGUUUAGGCAGAAUGCCUCAAAUGAAGAAGACUUCGCCAAACAGCAUUCAAGCAGCCAUCGUGCAGCUCACCACCGAGCUGCCUGCCCAAGCCAACCAGCUCGCUGUUUACCAGCAUCAACUAAAUCAGCUGACCUCUCUCACCGAGGAGCUUGUUAAAACCCUGCAGAGCCUUCGAUUCAGCCCCACCGAAGCCGCCGCUACUCAGCCCUCUGUUCCCGCCAGCCAAGCCUUCACUUCCACCACAUCAGUGAACCCGCGACUCGCCUUCCCCGAGAAGUUCGGCAAUCCAGCCAAAUGUAAGGGAUUCCUGCUUCAAUGCUCUCUCUUCGUUAAUCAGCAGCCCUCCCUAUACCCCACAGAUUCGAGUCGGAUCUCUUUCGUUUGUUCAUUGCUGACUGGUCGGGCUCUGGAUUGGGCCACUGCAAUCUGGAGAGAGGAUAGCUCCGCGUUUCCCACCUUCUCCUUGUUCGGGCAACGCAUCAGAGAGGUUUUCGAACACCCCAUGGGAGGUAAAAGCCCCAGGGACCAAUUACUAUCUCUGUGCCAGGGCAGAACAACCGCCGCUGAAUAUGCCUUAUUUCGCACCCUAGCUGCACGAACGAACUGGGUUGAUGACACUCUGAAGCUAUUAUUUAGAAAACUGUCUUUAGAACUUCAGGCUGAACUAGCUUGCCACGAUGAGGGAAGAACACUCAAUGAAUUCAUCGAGCUCGCUAUCCAGAUUGAUAAUCUGAUCCUCUCACGAUGCCCUGCUCGUUUACCAGUUCACCAAAUGCCGGUCCAUCACAGCCCAGAGCCUAUGCAACUCUGAUACACUCCUAUCAACCCCGAGGAAAGAGAGAGAAGGGUGCAACUUCACCUGUGUCUCUACUGUGGCCAAGCUGGCCAUCUCAAGAUCACCUGUCCCAUCUGUCCAAGCCCAUCUAGUUCCAAAUCGGAGAUUUCAACCGCUGGGUCAUUGUAUACAUAGAUGACAUCCUCAUUUACUCCAACACCUUCAACGAACACAUCCAGCAUGUCAGAGCUGUGUUACAAUGCCUGAUCCAACAUCAACUCUACGCCAAAGCUGAAAAAUGUGGGUUCCAUCGCACAUCCACAUCAUUCUUGGGCUAAUAAUCAGUCACGAGGGAGUGGCUAUGGACGAGGGCAAAGUAAGGGUGGUGCUGGAGUGGCCUCAACCACGAACACUGAAGGAACUACAGUGAUUUCUGGGGUUCGCCAACUUCUACAGGCGGUUCAUCAGAAACUUCAGUGGCAUUGCGGCUCCGUUAACUACCAUGACUAAACGAACCUCCUCACGUCUCACCUGGUCCCAUGAAGCCCUGCAGGCCUUCUAGGAACUCAAAGAAUGGUUCACUUCUGCUCCCAUUCUCCGCCAUACAGACCCAGAACUCCCGUUCAUUGUGGAAGUUAACGCAUCCAGCACAGGCAUCGGGGCCAUCCUCUCACAACGCCAUGGGAAUCCUGCCAAAAUGUUCCCUUGUGCGUUCUACUUACGACAAUUAUCAGCAGCAGAGAGAAAUUACAAUGUGGGCAACCGUGAACUGCUGGCAAUGAAGGCAGCAUUAGAGGAGUGGUGGCACUGGUUGGAGGGUGCGCAACAUCCAUUCACCAUUCUCACCGAUCACAAAAAUUUGGAAUACUUACGUUCAGCUAAACGACUGAAUCCCAGACAGGCAAGAUGGGCCAUGUUUUUUACCAGAUUCCAGUUUACUGUUACAUAUCGACCAGGUUCCAAAAAUACCAAGGCAGAUGCACUGUCCCGUCAAGCGGAGGAGAUCGAAAGGCCAGACAGGGAGGAACACAUUCUCUCCGAGAAGCUGCUAGUUACCCCAGUACAAUGGGAUAUUAUGACCGAGAUCACACAAAGCAAUGAGUAGAACUUACCACCUCCAGAAUGUCCAAGAUCGCACGUUUGUUCCAGGUCCUCUACGCACCAAGCCCCUGCACCAAGUCCACGCUCUUCCCAGUUCUUGUCAUCCGGUUAUCACCGCCACAUUCCAUCUACUACAGAACUGUUUCUGGUGGGCUACAAUGCUAGCAGACACCACCCAGUUUGUCAAUAACUGUCAAUAAAAGCUUGUCAAACCUCCAAACCAUCCUGUCAACUACCAUCUGGUCUUCUUCAGUCACUUCCCAUUCCACAACGCCCAUGGUCCCACAUUGCCACUGAUUUUGUCACUGACCUUCCCGAGUCUCGUGGUAACACAACCAUCCUCACAGUCAUUGACCGAUUCUCAAAGUCCUGUCGACUCAUUCCACUACCCAAAUUGCCCACGGCCUUCGAAACUGCAGAAACUCUCUGUGAAUAUGUGUUCCGCUUCUAUGGCCUACUCGAAGACGUUGUAUCGGAUCGUGGACCACAAUUCACGUCUUGUGUAUGGGCAGCUUUCUUCAAGCAUCUGAAUGUCAAUGUCAGUCUCAUGUCUGGGUACCACCCCAAAUCCAACGGUCAAACUGAACGCAUGAACCAAGAACUCACAAGGUUUCUGAGAACCUACUGUCAGCAGAAUCAAGCCGAUUGGAGCAGAUACCUGAUAUGGGCCGAAUAUGCACAGAAUUCUCUGCUGCCUGCCCUGAUCCUUGCCAGUAUACUGAACUCUGUCUGUCUGUUGACCCUUCAUUACAAGAUUAAGUUCUAUAAAUAAUGUUUUUCAAUUGUUACAAUAUUCGGAAGAAACUCAUAACAUUUAUUCAGAAGGCAAUCAAUUUAACAUUCAUUGCUUAGAUUUUUAUAGCUUUCCUGUAACUGAAACAGUAGCCAAAAUCAUGGGUAUGUAAUUUCCAGGGAAUGUAUGAACGUAUAAAAAUGUACUCCUUGUAAAUCGCCUUGAAUUAACAGUGUCUGCAUGCAUAUGUUGAUAAUGUUAUGAGUGUUGCAUGGUAAUUGCUUUUGUAAAUGCAUGUCUGAAAAUCAUGACAAUGUAUAAACACUGCAAGUCAAGUCACCUUUUGCAUUUGUACCUGUUACUUGUUACAUUAAAAGGGGCACAUAUGUUUGAGAGAGGCAUACUAGGUUUUACUCAUAAUUUACUCACACUUGACCACUAGAGUAAGGUGGUCACACAUGUUUCCAAAAAGUUAUGUCCUUUUUAGGCACUCUUGUGGUUAAAACUGUAUUUGUGCCGUUAGCCAGUUUCUUGUAUCAGUUUAAUUUCUCAACAUUGUUCUGUCAUUUCGUAUACACCACCAUGAUCUGUCUUCCUCAAAAUCACAGGGUGGGCUGAGCAAUGCUUUCAACUAGUCAAAUGUGUGCAAUGGAAGGACCAUCUGAUGACGAGUUCUUUUAUGUGACAUUUAGGAAGAGAUCUGGACUGCAGGCUGGCCAUUUCAGUACCCGGAUCCUUCUUCUACGCAGCCAUGAUGUUGUAAUUGAUGCAGUAUGUGGUCUGGCAUUGUCGUGUUGGAAAAUGCAAGGUCUUCCCUGAAAGAGACGACGUCUGGAUGGGAGCAUAUGUUGUUCUAGAACUUGGAUAUACCUUUCAGCAUUGAUGGUGCCUUUCCAGAUGUGUAAGCUGCCCAUGCCACACGCACUCAUGCAACCCCAUACCAUCAGAGAUGUAGGCUUCUGAACUGAGCGCUGAUAACAACUUGGGUUGUCCUUGUCCUCUUUAGUCCGGAUGACAUGGCGUCCCAGUUUUCCAAAAAGAACUUCACAUUUUGAUUCGUCUGACUACAGAACAGUUUUCAACUUUGCCACAGUCCAUUUUAAAUGAGCCUUGGCCCAGAGAAAACGCCUGCGCUUCUGGAUCAUGUUUAGAUAUGGCUUCUUUUUUGACCUAUAGAGUUUAACUGAUGUACACUGUACAAGUCUGGAAUAAUUACUUUUUUUUAAAAAUCUCUUAUGCUCACCAUGGCAGCAUUUCAUUUAUUUAAUAUUGAUCAAAAAUACAGUAAAAACAGCUAGUAUUGUGAAAUAUUAUUACAAUUUAAAAUAACUGUUUCUUCUAAUAUAUUUUGAAAUGUAAUUUAUUCCUGUGAUGCAAAGCUGAAUUUUCAGCAGCCAUUCCUCUUCAGUCACAUGAUCCUUCAGAAAUCAUUCAUUUGAUGUUAAUAUCAAGACAAAAACACUGUUUAUUGCAUUCAUCAGCUUUACUACUGAAAAAGGAUUGCCAAAACAAGGAAAAAAGACAAGCUGUUAUAAAAACUAAUCCUGCCACAGAAGCCAUCAAUCAUAUGGGUGUGUGUUUUUUUUUUUUUUGUUUUUGUUUUUUAAGCAA